rnacentral:rRNA from 1 species
AGUGAACGCUGGCGGCAGGCCUAACACAUGCAAGUCGAGCGGCAGCGCGUCCGACCACCCUCGGGUGGUCGGAUGGCGGCGAGCGGCGGACGGGUGAGGAAUGCAUCGGAAUCUGCCUCGUUGUGGGGGAUAACGUAGGGAACUUACGCUAAUACCGCAUACGACCUACGGGUGAAAGUGGGGGACCUUCGGGCCGUCACGCGAUGAGAUGAGCCGAUGCCGGAUUAGCUAGUUGGCGGGGUAAAGGCCCGACCAAGGCGACGAUCCGUAGCUGGUCUGAGAGGAUGAUCAGCCACACUGGAACUGAGACACGGUCCAGACUCCUACGGGAGGCAGCAGUGGGGGAAUAUUGGACAAUGGGGGCGAACCCUGAUCCAGCCAUGCCGCGUGUGUGAAGAAGGCC